rnacentral:rRNA from 1 species
GACGAACGCUGGCGGCGUGCUUAACACAUGCAAGUCGAACGGAAAGGCCCUGCUUUUGUGGGGUGCUCGAGUGGCGAACGGGUGAGUAACACGUGAGUAACCUGCCCUUGACUUUGGGAUAACUUCAGGAAACUGGGGCUAAUACCGGAUAGGAGCUCCUGCUGCAUGGUGGGGGUUGGAAAGUUUCGGCGGUUGGGGAUGGACUCGCGGCUUAUCAGCUUGUUGGUGGGGUAGUGGCUUACCAAGGCUUUGACGGGUAGCUGGCCUGAGAGGGUGACCGGCCACAUUGGGACUGAGAGACGGCCCAGACGCCUACGGGAGGCAGCAGGGGGGAAUAUUGCACAAUGGGCGGAAGCCUGAUGCAGCAACGCCGCGUGCGGGAUGACGGCCUUCGGGUUGUAAACCGCUUUCGCCUGUGACGAAGCGUGAGUGACGGUAAUGGGGAAAGAAGCACCGGCUAACUACGU